GUCGUUGUAGUAUAGUGGUGAGUAUUCCCUUCUGUCACUCGGGUGACCCGGGUUCGCUUCCUGACAACGACG
rnacentral:tRNA from 1 species